AUCAUUGUAAUUAUAACUUUUUUUUCUCCAUUCAGAUUUUCAGAUUAUACAGACAAUAUUUUCUCAUAGUGAAAACUGUGCUGGUCAGAUUUUUGAUAUCAAUCUACUCUUUGGGGAUUAUGAGGUGAGAUUUUCUUUUCUAUUAAGACUGUGGAAUGCAAAAUAAUGAACUUGGAAAGUAUCCCUUUUAGAAAACAGAGUCCGUCUUAUUUGAGGUAAAUGUCUAUAAGAAGACUACAAGCAUCAUUGAUAUGAUGAGAUACUUCAUUGGCAUUAGAAUCUUCUACUUUCCCAAAUGCUUUGUAGUCAUUUCAGAUUGUUUUGAUUAUGAGCACAAAUGAAAAGAUAACUUUUCUUUGCUAUGGAAAAUAGCUCAGUUUCACUUGAAAUUGAACUCUUUCUUAACCAAUUAAUUAGAAGUUCCCCUCUCUUAUAUUUUAUUUCUUACUUGUAAUAAAUGGCCAUAAUUGCUAUAGCAGACUCUUUCCUCCCAUUAUACAUUUUUCCCUUUUUUGCCAGCUGGAGAUCUCUCUAUUUAUCAAAGCUUUCUGUUCCUUUUUUUUCCAGUUGCUGGGCUCUUUUCAUCAUCACUGCACUAACAAUGACUUGUCAGGCCACUGCAUUGCAUACAAAUAAGGGGCAGGCACAGUUCCUAUUUAGUUUAAAGUUUAGGAUGACAAGAAUAACAGCAAAGAUUUAUUUCACAUCUAUUUUAUGCAGAACUUUCUGUUCCCAGGAACUGAGAAAGACCACAUUGAGAGAAGAACCUGCCUGAAUCACAAUGUGGCUUCCGACCAGAUCGCAGCACCAUUGACAUGGUCUUCAUGGUGAGGCAAAUGCAGGAAAAAUGCCUUGAGCAGAACCUGAGUCUCUACAUUGUCUUCAUUGACCUGAAGAAGGCGUUCGACACAGUGAACAGGGACGCAUUGUGGGUGAUCCUCAGCAAGCUCGGUUGCCCAGCAAAAUUUGUCAAACUGAUCCAGCUCUUUCAUGUC
rnacentral:lncRNA from 1 species